rnacentral:rRNA from 1 species
CACGUAGGGCGCGAGCGUUGUCCGGAAUUAUUGGGCGUAAAGAGCUCGUAGGCGGCCUGUUGUGUCCGCUGUGAAAGCCCGGGGCUUAACCCCGGGUCGGCAGUGGAUACGGGCAGGCUAGAGGUAGGUAGGGGAGAAUGGAAUUCCCGGUGUAGCGGUGAAAUGCGCAGAUAUCGGGAGGAACACCGGUGGCGAAGGCGGUUCUCUGGGCCUUACCUGACGCUGAGGAGCGAAAGCGUGGGGAGCGAACAGG